GGAAAGUACAAACCCAUUCGCCUCUCUGUCUCUCAACUCAAACUCCAAAACUUUGCUAGAAAGAGAGAAAAAGCCUUUUUAAUUUCCCCAUUCCUUAUGGUUUGGCAAGUUAAUCGAUUGUUUUGCUUUCCGGGAAAAUUUAUUCCUCAACUAAACUGUCACUUUCCUGGGAAAAUUUACAGCACCUGAGAAUAUCAUUCCGGUACCUUACCCAACUGUUGUCUCAUGAUUCCAAUUUGCUUGCUACUGGUGUGUGUAGUUAUCUUUCAAUUCAUUUCCUCU
rnacentral:misc_RNA from 1 species